CAGGGGCUGCUUAUUGAACUGUCAGAUAUUUUUCAGCACUACAGAUACCAACAGGUCUUUUAAGAGCUCCCUUAAUCAGCUUGUAGGUCAGUUACCAUGACAACCUGAUCUCUCGUGGACAUGGUGCUUCAUGGAGAGGAAGAUGAUCACCUGCCCUCAGCGGGUCGUCAACACAUCUCUCAGAGAUACACAGUACAGCAAAGCACCUUUGUGUGUACAUCAUUAUGCCUUAAUUAAUGUCAGCUUCCUGUACUUUAAAUGUACAUACAUUAGCAUAUAUCACACAUGCUGAGCUGAAUGCACAAGGUCGACUCCUAUUGCCUACUAUCGACUGACUUCCCUCCAGAAGGAUUCUUUGAUGAAAAGGGAGCGGGCAGCAUGUCACAGCUGCUGCUUGACCUUUGGAUUGUGGCAACACCGAGCCAGCAUUCCAAACACGAAAUAUGAACAUUCUCAUGUCUGGAAUUAGAAGUCAGACGUUAGACUAGUAGGCACUUUCCAUGAAUAGGGUACAAACACAGUGCCUGAAAUGCUUGGAAAAAUGUGAAAGUCAUUGUUCAGGAGGUACUUAACCUUGAGAAGAUGAUGAUUGUCAACCUCAGGAGGUCAAACCAAAUUUUAUAUGAGCUGUUUUAUUUUAUAUUCAUCUUGCAUGACAUUUGCGGUUUGUGCAAUCCUGUUACUAAACCCUAAUUUGUUUGAUUUCAGUUUUAAAUAAAAUAAGAAAUAAAUGAAA